AUUGAACGCUGGCGGCAGGCCUAACACAUGCAAGUCGAGCGAGCGGCGGACGGGUGAGUAAUGUAUGGGGACUGCCCUAUAGAGGGGGAUAACUACUCGAAACGGUGGCUAAUACCGCAUACUAUCGGAUAACCCAUAUGGGAUUAGCUAGUAGGUGGGGUAAAGGCUCACCUAGGCGACGAUCCGUAGCUGGUCUGAGAGGAUGGUCAGCCACACUGGGACUGAGACACGGCCCAGACUCCUACGGAGGCAGCAGUGGGGAAUAUUGUACAAUGGGCGCAAACCUGAUGCAGCCAUGCCGCGUGUAUGAAGAAGGCCUUAGGGUUGUAAAGUACUUUCAGCAGAGAGGCGUUAUCUGCAGAAGAAGCACCGGCUAACUCCGUGCCAGCAGCCGCGGUAAUUC
rnacentral:rRNA from 1 species